AUUGAACGCUGGCGGCAGGCCUAACACAUGCAAGUCGAGCGGAUGAAGGGAGCUUGCUCCUGGAUUCAGCGGCGGACGGGUGAGUAAUGCCUAGGAAUCUGCCUGGUAGUGGGGGAUAACGUCCGGAAACGGGCGCUAAUACCGCAUACGUCCUGAGGGAGAAAGUGGGGGAUCUUCGGACCUCACGCUAUCGGAUGAGCCUAGGUCGGAUUAGCUAGUUGGUGGGGUAAAGGCCUACCAAGGCGACGAUCCGUAACUGGUCUGAGAGGAUGAUCAGUCACACUGGAACUGAGACACGGUCCAGACUCCUACGGGAGGCAGCAGUGGGGAAUAUUGGACAAAGGGCGAAAGCCUGAUCCAGCCAUGCCGCGUGUGUGAAGAGGGUCUUCGGAUUGUAAAGCACUUUAAGUUGGGAGGAAGGGCAGUAAGUUAAUACCUUGCUGUUUUGACGUUACCAACAGAAUAAGCACCGGCUAACUUCGUG
rnacentral:rRNA from 1 species